AUACGUAGGGUGCAAGCGUUGUUCGGAAUCAUUGGGCGUAAAGCGCGUGUAGGCGGUUGGCUAAGUCCGGUGUGAAAUCCCGGGGCUUAACUCCGGAAGUGCAUUGGAUACUGGCCAGCUAGAGGACGGGAGAGGAAAGCGGAAUUCCUGGUGUAGGGGUGAAAUCCGUAGAUAUCUGGAAGAACACCAGUUGCGAAGGCGGUCUCUUGGUCCGAUACUGACGCUGAGGCG
rnacentral:rRNA from 1 species